AAGAGUGGUGGUUUGGCCGGGAGCUAUCAUAAUGGCUGUGGUAUUGAAGGGUUUUGUGUAUGCAGCAUCAAUCUCCACCACUGUCAAUGUAUGGUUGGCUAUGGCAAAGAAAAGUUCAUCGUUGAGUGCUCCAUUAAUUACUCUCAGCAGGAGAAGCAAAGCUGAAUGGCACAAAACCAGCAAGGAGGAUGCUUAUGAAUAUGACAAGCAACAUCAUCCGACACUGCUGGCUGAGGCUCUUCAUUGUCAUAAAAAAUUUUAACUCUUCAAAACAAGUUAGCUAACAAUUUAUAUAUAUUCUACAAGAAGUAGUUGCACUCUUUUUAUAGUUUUUUGCUCUCUUCGAACUCACAUUCUGCAGUCAUUGGCACAGUCUGUGAAUCCUUUUGAUAUUGUGGUGAGUGGUGCUUUGUUGUGGGGGUUGGUGCGUAAGUGGGGUUAAUUGCUGAUAUCAGUAUGUGGUUAAUGUCAAUUGGUCGUUUUUUAAACUAAUGCUAAGCAGAUUAGGUGUUUGGCUGCUGUAUAUACACACAUUAUACAACCACUGAUGAAAUAUUAUUGAUUCCCUUUUGUCAUUUCAA